CACAUGCCUUUAUAAGGUGAAGCCGCGAAUAGCUCAUUACAACAGCCAAAUUUUACUGGAAUAUAGUUAUCUUACUUGGAUAACUGUGGCAAUUCUAGAGCUAAUACAUGCAAAAAAGCUCUGACCGCAAGGAACGAGCGCAUUUAUUAGAAUAAAAACCAAUCGGGUUUCGGCCCGUUUAUUGGUGAAUCUGAAUAACUUUGCCAAUCGCACAGUCCUAGUACUGGCGAUGUAUCCUUCAAAUGUCUGCCUUAUCAACUUUCGAUGGUAGGUUAUACGCCUACCAUGGUAUUAACGGGUAACGGAGAAUAAGGGUUCGACUCCGGAGAGGGAGCCUGAGAAACGGCUACCACAUCCAAGGAAGGCAGCAGGCGCGCAAAUUACCCACUUUCAGAACGAAGAGGUAGUGACGAAAAAUAACGAGACAGUCCUCUUCGAGGUCUGUCAUCGGAAUGGGUACAAUUUAAAUCCUUUAACGAGGAUCUAUUGGAGGGCAAGUCUGGUGCCAGCAGCCGCGGUAAUUCCAGCUCCAAUAGCGUAUAUUAAAGCUGUUGCGGUUAAAACGCUCGUAGUUGGAUUUGCGGCCUCGGAGAACGGUCCCCCGAAAGGGUGGUCACUGUCUCUCCUAGCCUAAAUUCGAGUCGUCUCUAGGUGCUCUUAACCGGGUGCUUAGAGUGACUAGAACGUUUACUUUGAAAAAAUUAGAGUGCUUAAAGCAGGCGAAAUAGCCUGAAUAAGGUGCAUGGAAUAAUGGAAUAGGACCUCGGUUCUAUUUUGUUGGUUUUUGGAACCCGAGGUAAUGAUUAAGAGGAACAGACGGGGGCAUUCGUAUUCCGGCGCUAGAGGUGAAAUUCUUGGACCGCCGGAAGACGAACAACUGCGAAAGCAUUUGCCAAGAAUG
rnacentral:rRNA from 1 species